UUGUCGUCUGUUUUGCUACCGUUCCUGUUAAUUUUGAGGCUUUCCGGCGUUCCAAGCAGCGCGGAUUUCGCAUGCUGUGGUGCUGUCGUUCGCCUCAUUGUUUUUUCUGCUUGUUUAGAAGCUUUGCGUUGCGGACAUUGCAGUGGGCCAGGGCUUGUUGACAUUUGUUGCCCAGCUGCUGUUGCUACCGCAGCAACAAGCUAAGCUGAGUGUUUCUUCUACGAGCUUCGUGCUGUUACCCGUGCUUUUGCUGAUACUUGUAGGAACAACCGCCCUGUUCGUGCGGUAUAAGUGACCUCGAAAUUCCAGUGAGCGCGAUACGAUUGCCGCAGUCUCGCAGAGAUCGCGGGAUUGUCCAUUCGUGCCUUCGAUGAGCACCGCUGCAGUUCCUACGCACUGCCCUUUGUUUUUAAACAACAGGCAGCCACAGUUGUGCUGGCAUGUCUAGCGGAGAUGUAAAAGAGGUGGCAGCUCCCACGCGCCACCACAUCCAUGUACUCAACUGUUAGUGCCCGCAUAUGCUAGCUGUGUCCACCAUUACGGAUGACUCUCUACCCAUGCGGAGGUUCUACUGAUUUCUUCGGCCUGCACCUUAUAAUGUUGGGCCCACCAGGAUCUAGCCUGUCUCUGCCUUGUUGACAACAAUUAGCCCCAAGUACUAAUUGCUGCUCAUUUGCGUAGUCCAGAAUCUGGCAUUUCAGAGGCCACGCGCAGGCUUCAUGGCAGCGGCACUAGGUGGUGCCGAGUGUUCUUGGGGAAACUUGAGAGAUUCUUAAGAGUUCUUGGAAGUUUACAAACGCAGCAAGAAAGUAAUCAGGCCUCACAAAUGCAAUGAGCCUUGGCGAAUGCAUCACUGUUGCCAUAGUGGCAUGCCAGGCCCCUUCCAAGGUCGUCAGUCAGGUCAAGGUUGGCACGCAGUGCUGCGUGCCUCUAGCCGACAAGUCUAUCGGGUGCUCCUUCAAAGCACUGAGCGUGUCGAGGAGCGUGCAGACUACAGAAGCUGUGAAUGAGUCAAGCUCGGCCUCAGGUAGGCAGUUACCGGCACUUCUCUUACUUCAGCUUGCUUGUGUGAGUUUAUGGUAAAGGGCCAAGUCUGCCUAGUACGACCUGCGCAAGUGUAUAUGACUUUCUACUGCUGAGGGAGAAGUCAGCAGGUGUGCGAUUCUUG